ACGGACCACGACAAAGGCCCCUCGCACCAAAAAAACGGACGAAGCGAAGGAGCGACGAUCCCUCGAUCUAUUCGCGACGCGAACAACGACGCCGCCGCCAUCGCGGAUCCCAGGCGCUAGCCGCGGAUCCCGUUGCCGGUGUCGAGGGGUCGUGGAGGCGCCGCCGCCGAGGUCCUAAAGGAGGCGCCGCCGUCGAGGUCCUAAAGGAGGCGCCGCUGCCAUCGUUGUGGACCUCCGGGUCGCCAUCGGGACACCUCUGCUGAGGUACGCCUUCGCCUUCGCACGGUGAUGGGCAUGGUGGCGGAAGAAGGUCGUCUUCCCAGAGCACCGCACGCUGGCCGCCGUCUCCAUCCGCGGCCGCACCAACAAGACAGCAAGAAUCAUACCCCACCCACGCGGCGGCACGACGCAGAAGGGCUACAUGGGUCUAUAGCGGCGCGCGCAAUGGAAGGACACCUAUGGGAACAAGCUCACCGAGGUCUUGGAAUUCCAACCUAGAUAAACAAGUGAACUCAUUUUAACAGUUUCCCUUUUUUUGUGAUGCAGGCUAGCUCAUUCAUUAAGGGCUACUCAGCUCUGUUUUUUCCCUCCCUUUGGAGAUUGGAUUAUAUGGUACUCUGUGUUGAAGGAUCUGUUCAUGCCAAAUUUAAUAAAUCUUGUCAUGUUUUCAUAGGUUGCCUAUUUUCUCACUCUGCAUGGAAUGGUGAACGUUUGUAGCAUGGUCACUUGGUCAGGUUUUGAUUAUUUUUGUCACUGCACAUACCUUCAGAAAAUAACCCAAUGAGGCUAGCUUGUUCUUUCUACUUAUACACCUACGCAUGGGAUGCUCUGUUAGUUUUGUUGUGCAAAUAAUCAUUAUUCCUGUUGAUGAGCAAUGAUAAUGGCUCCCAAAACUACAACAUUUGCUGCUUCAGUGUAUGUGUACCGAAUCGUAAAAGAAUAUGAUUAUAUCUUUUGCUUUGUAGUGCACCUGUUCACGAGAAUGAUGCUGAGAAGGCAAUAGGUCCUGCUUGCUAGCUUUGUCAUGGACACGCUUCAAAACUGUCUCUGUCCAUGGGGUUAUUGAUUACUGCUUGUGAUGUUUAAGAGUGAUGCACAGGAACAGGAUUAUUUUUAUGUGAAGGUGGAUAGAAAUAACUUUACUUGAGAAGGAGCUUUCCAUUGCAUCUGAUUUGUACUCUCAGUAUCAGACUUCAUUCCUGUGAAGUAACAUUUGGGCAAAAUGGGCAACAUGUGUUUGGUCAUUGCCGUGCUUUGGUUUUUAGGCUCGUGCUAUGAUAACUUGAUGACACCCCUUUAUAGACAUUAUAGUAUAGAGCAUUCUCAUGCAUUAAGUCCAGUGCAAGGAAAAUUGAUAAAGUCUGCUAACUGGAACAGGAUAGUUGAUCCUUUCAAUGGAGAGUACAAAUUUAUUGCAAUAAUCUAUAUAUGCCGAACCUGUACACCUUGCAAUAGGUAGAGAUGGCUAAAUUUUGUAGCUUUUUGUUCCCUUUUUUCCCAUCAAAAUUAUGGAUUUGGAAGCUAUUCAUGGAGUGUUUCAGUUGCCUGCUAUAUUAUGGAUUUGCAAUGAGCACAAGCCUGCAACCUUGAAGGAAAAGUUGUUGCUGCUGAAGACAUGACACUGUGGGUGAGAUCUUUUAUUAUGUUAGUACAGAGUACAGACUGAUAUUAUGUCGCAGCAACAAUGUAUAGAGCUUCAGAGCUCAUUCUUCUCUUCACAUAAGGUUCGGUUUAGAGUUCAUGCUUUGUGCUUAUUAAAAAACAAAGAAAAGGAAUGAGUUGCUUGAUAUAUUGGCAUGUAUAUAGUGUAAAAAAACAUGCUUACAGUUCUAACAUGAAUUUUACUGAACUGAGAGUUGUGAUAUGCAAAUGUUUUAUGGUCGAAGGUUCUGUACCAUCGGUUAUAUUGUAUAAAAAUGGUCUCUGCUUUCAUCUUCUUUGAUGACAUAUUUUCUUGUAAAAAUUGGAAUGCAUUAUGCACCUGUUCUUUUCAAGGUGGUUCCAUUUUUUGUCAAUUUAUAAACUUUUUAUGAAUAGUAAUAUAGACGCAUGUUCUUAAUCUAUUUUGGAUUUUUGUUCACCCCGAAAUGCAGUGUAGAUCUGCCAUUGACAUUUUUUUGGAGCACUGGUUGAACAUUUGCUGAGAUGUUGAUAGGAAAAGCCUUUGUUUCCUCAUAAAAUGUUGCCCAUUAGUUAAACUUAUUGGAUACAUGCAGUGGGCAUGAUGACCAUGUACAACUUUUUUCAGUUAGAAUUGUGUCUGCUAUUGAUCUAUCUAACUUAAUACAAAGAACUCUGCAUGUUUUGGAAACAAGAGGUAAUGCAAACAUUUAAUUCUGUUGUGAACUUCUGAUUCAGCCUUGGGGCAUGGACGGCGAGAAGUGUAGGCAUGUGCCUAGCGUACCGGACCAUGAUGGAUUGAUGAGCUGAUGUCAUGUGGCGGCUGGUUAACCGGCGGCGGUUGGAGCCAUCAUCCACCACGAGUUCGCGCUAGGAGCACAUGGGCAAAGGAGAGGAUAUGUUGGUGCUGUUGGAAUAAGGUUUAUUGGGUCGUCCUCCUCCAGCAACAUAUUACACAAUGUACUUAAGCCGAUUUAUUCUCUUUGGUAAAAAUGGCCCUCAUUUGCUUGAUAAAACUUUACUUUCGUAAAACUAAUUGAGUUAGGAACCAUAACAUAUACUACUACAUCUAUGUCUGGUAUCUAUCUGAUUAUAUUAAACUGACAGUUUAUUCUUCUUGCUGGAAGGGGUGUCGUGAAAGAUGAUCUGGAUGCUAUUAAAGUUUUAUAUAUGUUGCUGUCCAUGUGAGUCAUUUCUAUGAACUAUGCUACUAAUCGUCACAUAAGGUCAUAUGCUAACUCUUGACCUAUGUACACUUAAAGGUCCUCUCACCUUGGAUCAUAUCAAUCUGCUAUCAAUGGCUGAGACUGAGCUUUGAUUUCUCACCACGUGCUUAAAUCUAUAUUUUUUAAACACCUCAAUCUUCCUUGAAUUUUCUGAUACACCAAGCAGCAUCGCAAGUUAAUUGAAGUAAUUGGUCUUGAAAACAUGUAUUCUUUCCUGUCCACGAAAUGUAAUGCUUUGGGGGAACCUUCAAUCAAACUUAAAAAUAAAUUAGUACUGAUGUUGUUUUUCAUAAAUCAUGAACCAAUAGAUGUACUUGUUAGGAUAACAUGGAAGCUGACUUAGCUGACAGGUUGGAUGGAUACUCAUUAUGGGCAUUUCAAAUGAUGCCAUUGUUUGAAAAAAAAAGAAUGAGUUCAUCAUUUGCUUCAAAUUUUUUGCUUUGUUUUUAUAUAUUGCAUUUGAGGAGACCACACGCUCUUGAAACUUGACACUAUAUAUUCAUUACUAUAUGCAACAAGUUAUAUUCGUUAUAUUUCUCUCUAUGGGGCAUACUAGACUUAUUUGCAGUGACAGAGGCAGGGGCGAGCUGGGGCCCGGGCUAGCAUUUUUCACAGCAACAUUACUGGAGCUACCAAAUAUGAUGUUCUGGAGAAAAUUUAUUUUGAUGAUUGUGGAAAAGUUUGGAGACUGGCGUGUGAUAUUACUGAUAAAGCAAAGACACACAUAAUCUGGAAACAUACACCAUGGAUGAUGCGCUUGCGGCCAUGGGGCAGUGGAAUCCAAGCACUUGUUAAUGCAUGAAGACAAGGGUUGGGUUGUACUCCCUCCGUUCCAAAAUAUAAGUCUUUUAAGAGAUUCCAAUAAGGGGCUACAUACGGAGCAAAAUGAGUGAAUUUACAUUCUAAAAUAUGUCUAUAUACAUCCGUAUGUAGUCUUUUAGUGAAAUCUUAGAAAGACUUAUAUUUAGGAACGGAGGGAGUAGAAACCAUGGAGCUCAGUCAACUAUCAAUCCAUGUGAUGAUGUAUCUUUUACUCUACUAUCAAUACAUGUGAUGAUGUAUCUUUUACCUCCCA